GAUGAACGCUGGCGGCGUGCUUAACACAUGCAAGUCGAACGGGAAAUAUUUCAUUGAGACUUCGGUGGAUUUGAUUUAUUUCUAGUGGCGGACGGGUGAGUAACGCGUGGGUAACCUGCCUUAUACAGGGGGAUAACAGUCAGAAAUGGCUGCUAAUACCGCAUAAGCGCACAGAGCUGCAUGGCUCAGUGUGAAAAACUCCGGUGGUAUAAGAUGGACCCGCGUUGGAUUAGCUAGGUGGUGGGGUAACGGCCCACCAAGGCGACGAUCCAUAGCCGGCCUGAGAGGGGGAACGGCCACAUUGGGACUGAGACACGGCCCAGACUCCUACGGGAGGCAGCAGUGGGGAAUAUUGCACAAUGGGGGAAACCCUGAUGCAGCGACGCCGCGUGAAGGAAGAAGUAUCUCGGUAUGUAAACUUCUAUCAGCAGGGAAGAUAGUGACGGUACCUGACUAAGAAGCCCCGGCUAACUACGUG
rnacentral:rRNA from 1 species